GCCUAAAGCGUCCGUAGCCGGCUCUGUAAGUUUUCGGUUAAAUCCAUAUGCUCAACAUAUGGGCCGCCGGGAAUACUGCAUAGCUAGGGAGUGGGAGAGGUAGACGGUACUCCGUAGGAAGGGGUAAAAUCCUUUGAUCUAUGGAUGACCACCAGUGGCGAAGGCGGUCUACCAGAACACGUUCGACGGUGAGGGAUGAAAGCUGGGGGAGCAAACCGGAUUAGAUACCCGGGUAGUCCCAGCUGUAAACUAUGCAAACUCAGUGAUGCAUUGGCUUGUGGCCAGUGCAGUGCCGCAGAGAAGUCGUUAAGUUUGCCGCCUGGGAAGUACGUACGCAAGUAUGAAACUUAAAGGAAUUGGCGGGGGAGCACCACAAGGGGUGAAGCCUGCGGUUCAAUUGGAGUCAACGCCAGAAAUCUUACCCGGAGAGACAGCAGAAUGAAGGUCAAGCUGAAGACUUUACCAGACAAGCUGAGAGGUGGUGCAUGGCCGUCGCCAGCUCGUGCCGUGAGAUGUCCUGUUAAGUCAGGUAACGAGCGAGAUCCCUGCCUCUAGUUGCCACCAUUACUCUCAGGAGUAGUGGGGCGAAUUAGCGGGACCGCCGCAGUUAAUGCGGAGGAAGGAAGGGGCCACGGCAGGUCAGUAUGCCCCGAA
rnacentral:rRNA from 1 species